rnacentral:tRNA from 1 species
GCCUUCGUGGUGUAGUGGUCAGCACGCUCGACGCGUAACCGAGAGUUCCGUGGUUCGAUUCGCGGCGAAGACA